rnacentral:rRNA from 1 species
GACGAACGCUGGCGGCGUGCUUAACACAUGCAAGUCGAACGGAAAGGCCCUGCGUUUGUGGGGUGCUCGAGUGGCGAACGGGUGAGUAACACGUGAGUAAAAUGCCCUUGACUUUGGGAUAAAUUCAGGAAACUGGGGCUAAUACCGGAUAGGAGAUCCUGCUGCAUGGUGGGGGUUGGAAAGUUUCGGCGGUUGGGGCUGGAAUCGAGGCUUAUCAGCUUGUUGGUGGGGUAGUGGCUUACCAAGGCUUUGACGGGUAGCCGGCCUGAGAGGGUGACCGGCGACAUUGGGACUGAGAUACGGCCCAGACUCCUACGGGCGGCAGCAGUGGGGAAUAUUGCACAAUGGGCGGAAGCCUGAUGCAGCAACGCCGCGUGCGGGAUGACGGGCUUCGGGUUGUAAACCGCUUUCGCCUGUGACGAAGCGUGAGUGACGGUAAUGGGUAAAGAAGCACCGGCUAACUACGUG